GGAUGCGAUCAUACCAGCACUAAAGCACCGGAUCCCAUCAGAAAUCAGAACUCCGAAGUUAAGCGUGCUUGGGCGAGAGUAGUACUAGGAUGGGUGACCUCCUGGGAAGUCCUCGUGUUGCAAUUC
rnacentral:rRNA from 2 species